rnacentral:rRNA from 1 species
AGGACGAACGCUGGCGGCGUGCUUAACACAUGCAAGUCGAGCGGUAAGGCCUUUCGGGGUACACGAGCGGCGAACGGGUGAGUAACACGUGGGUGAUCUGCCCUGCACUUCGGGAUAAGCCUGGGAAACUGGGUCUAAUACCGGAUAUGACCUCAGGUUGCAUGACUUGGGGUGGAAAGAUUUAUCGGUGCAGGAUGGGCCCGCGGCCUAUCAGCUUGUUGGUGGGGUAAUGGCCUACCAAGGCGACGACGGGUAGCCGACCUGAGAGGGUGACCGGCCACACUGGGACUGAGACACGGCCCAGACUCCUACGGGAGGCAGCAGUGGGGAAUAUUGCACAAUGGGCGAAAGCCUGAUGCAGCGACGCCGCGUGAGGAUGACGGCUUCGGUGUAAACCUCUUCUAGCAGGACGAAGCGCAAGUGACGGUACCUGCAGAAGAAGCACGGACUAACUACGUGCCAGCAGCCGAC